GACGAACGCUGGCGGCGUGCCUAAUACAUGCAAGUCGAGCGAAUCUUGAGGGGCUUGCCCCUUAAGAUUAGCGGCGGACGGGUGAGUAACACGUGGGCAACCUGCCUGUAAGACUGGGAUAACACCGGGAAACCGGUGCUAAUACCAGAUAAUUCUUUACCUCUCAUGAGGUAAAGCUGAAAGUCGGUUUUUAGCUGACACUUACAGAUGGGCCCGCGGUGCAUUAGCUAGUUGGUGAGGUAACGGCUCACCAAGGCGACGAUGCGUAGCCGACCUGAGAGGGUGAUCGGCCACACUGGGACUGAGACACGGCCCAGACUCCUACGGGAGGCAGCAGUAGGGAAUCUUCCGCAAUGGACGAAAGUCUGACGGAGCAACGCCGCGUGAGUGAUGAAGGCCUUCGGGUCGUAAAACUCUGUUGUUAGGGAAGAACAAGUAUCGGAGUAACUGCCGGUACCUUGACGGUACCUAACCAGAAAGCCACGGCUAACUACGUGCCAGCCGCCGCCGUAACAC
rnacentral:rRNA from 1 species